rnacentral:lncRNA from 1 species
CAACAAAUGGGUAUUGGUGAGAGGGGCUAAUACAAGUUGAGCAUCCUUUAUCCAAAAUGCUUGGGACUAGAAGUGUUUCAGAUUUCAGAUUUGUUCAGAUUUUGGAAUGUUUGCAUUAUACUUACCAGUUGAGCAUUUCCCUAAUCUGAAAAUCAGAAAUGUUCCAAUGAACAUUUCCUUUGAGUAUCAUGUUAGUGCUAAAAAGUUUAGAAUUUUGGAACAUUUCAGAUUUCAGAUUCUGGGCUUAGAAAUACUCAGCCUCUAGCCUGGACCAUAGAGUGAGACUCCAUAAAAAAAAAAAAAAGAAAAGAAACACUCAACCUGUGUAGAUAAAUUUAUAUCAUCUAUUACAAGUUUGAGUGAUAAUAUUCAAAGGUGUUUUUUUUUUCUAUAUUUGUUUGUAAAUGAAGGUUCCUCCCCGGGCAGAAGAAAUCACCAUUCCAGCUGAUGUCACCCCAGAGAGAGUUCCAACACACAUUGUAGAUUACUCAGGUAAUGAAUAUCCUCUUGUAGAUGAAGGUGUAGGUUAAUUUAAUAGACUUGAAAAAAGAUACUUACUGAGCUUUUACAAAUGUUGAGAGAGGUGGUCUUUUCUCUGUAGCAGUAAAUGAUC